rnacentral:rRNA from 1 species
ACGGAAGGCAGCAGUGGGGAAUAUUGGGCAAUGGGGGAAACCCUGACCCAGCAACGCCGCGUGAAGGAAGAAGGCCUUCGGGUUGUAAACUUCUUUUACCAGGGACGAUAAUGACGGUACCUGGAGAAAAAGCAACGGCUAACUACGUGCCAGCAGCCGCGGUAAUACGUAGGUUGCAAGCGUUGUCCGGAUCUACUGGGUGUAAAGGGCGUGUAGGCGGAGCUGCAAGUCAGAUGUGAAAUCCCGGGGCUCAACCCCGGAACUGCAUUUGAAACUGUAGCCCUUGAGUAUCGGAGAGGCAAGCGGAAUUCCUAGUGUAGCGGUGAAAUGCGUAGAUAUUAGGAGGAACACCAGUGGCGAAGGCGGCUUGCUGGACGACAACUGACGCUGAGGCGCGAAAGCGUGGGGAGCAAACAGGAUUAGAUACCCUGGUA